AGGUUAGGUGUAGGGUUAGAUUUUAGGGUUGAUUAAGGGUUAAGGUUAGGUGUAGGGUUAGAUUUUAGGGUUGAUUAAGGGUUAGGGUUAGGUGUAGGGUUAGAUUUUAUGGUUGAUUAAGGGUUAAGGUUAGGGUUAGGUGUAGGGUUAGAUUUUAUGGUUGAUUAAGGGUUAAGGUUAGGUGUAGGGUUAGAUUUUAUGGUUGAUUAAGGGUUAAGGUUAGGGUUAGGUGUAGGGUUAGAUUUU